UGGGGAAUUUUGGACAAUGGGGGAAACCCUGAUCCAGCCAUCCCGCGUGUGCGAUGAAGGCCUUCGGGUUGUAAAGCACUUUUGGCAGGAAAGAAACGUCAUGGGUUAAUACCCCGUGAAACUGACGGUACCUGCAGAAUAAGCACCGGCUAACUACGUGCCAGCAGCCGCGGUAAUACGUAGGGUGCAAGCGUUAAUCGGAAUUACUGGGCGUAAAGCGUGCGCAGGCGGUUCGGAAAGAAAGAUGUGAAAUCCCAGAGCUCAACUUUGGAACUGCAUUUUUAACUACCGGGCUAGAGUGUGUCAGAGGGAGGUGGAAUUCCGCGUGUAGCAGUGAAAUGCGUAGAUAUGCGGAGGAACACCGAUGGCGAAGGCAGCCUCCUGGGAUAACACUGACGCUCAUGCACGAAAGCGUGGGGAGCAAACGGG
rnacentral:rRNA from 1 species